AUGGAGGCACAGUCUCUGAAGGAGGGGGGAGGGAUGGAGGAGGAUAAGGAGGCUGAGCCAGGUCUCUGGAUGGGUAUUGGGAUUAGGCAUUGUAAAGGAUGGAUGGAGCAGGCUGCACGCAGCUGUGUGUCCUCAGAGAGGGCAGACUCUUUCCAUCCCCAGCAUGGCAGAAAACACACGAUGGAAAAAGUCUUGAAAGAGAGGAAGGAAGGGAUCUGGUUUGGAUCAUUGCUGUGGCGAUGUCUGCAGAAUAAGGUGUUUAUUUUGGAAAGGGCUCUGUUUACAUGUCUGUUUUUAUGCGACACCCACAUAUGGAGAUGUUUGCUUUGCCGGGACCUCACAUUCCUCCCCGCACACACAACACACACGUCCCAGCUGGGACAAGUGGGGGGUCCCUUCGCUCCCAGGUCCCCACCAGCCAGCCCCCGUCCCUCCCUCGGGCAGCUGGGACAAAGCACGGUCACGCUGCAAAAUGUUUCCAGCCAAAGAGUGUCCAAAGUCUCUCAAAGUGCAGUCCCCACCACCCUGCAUGUCAGUGGACGGAUGUUAUGUCCCUCACAUUUAAGGCACCUCGGUCACAGCGCUGCAGAAGCCCCUUCUUCCUCUCCUGGCCCACGGUCACCCUCUCAUGGUGGCCACAGGUCAGCCAGAGCAUCCCCUCACGUUGGAGCUGCACGAGCACAGAUCCCACUGCAAUUCUUCCUCAUCUCCAUGCUGAGGUGUUGGACAAGCAGGGUCUCUGGCAGUACCACUGCUGAAAAUAACCACCCUGCUUCAUACUGAGACAGCAGAGCACCAGGCUGGGGACCACAUCCAAGAUCUCAGCAGGUCUGCAGGUCUGUUACCUUUGUUCUGACCCAAUUUCAAUGGGCUGCCCAUUAUUUGGAGAGAAAAUAGUGAGAACUGUUAUGCCUUAACUUCAAAAUUAAGAGCAUGGAGCAGCAUCUGGCACCUUACACAACCUCUCCAUAGACACUGCCUGAGAGACCUUUAAGCAGCAAAAACCCCUAAGAAAAGAAAGUUGAGCUGUAGGUGAAAAUAGCCACAAAACUGAGGAAGACCAUCUGCCUGGAGAGCAUUAAAAAUGACAACCGGCCUUCCCAUUUACAUUGCCUCUUGUUUCUUUCAGAGGAGAGUGUACUACCAGUUCAUGCAAGAUGCUGAGUGGCUCAAUCUCUUCUUGGUGGCAACAAAACCACCUGAAACCCUGGGGCUUCCCUUUGAAGAGUGCUCCAGGAAACACAAACAUUGAGGAAACACUCCUCCAUGCCCGAGACAGGCUUGAGCUACUGCCUGGGAGUACAUUUUGUGCUGGAGAACAGCCCAGGGACGUGCAGUGGGCUGCGCACCCCAGCAGAGCCUGUCCCAGCUCCAGCACUGUUAUUAAUGGCCUGUUAUUAAUGGCCUGUUAUUAAUGGUCACUACAUAGAAGGGAGCAAACCAGGCCAAUAGCCUCUUCAACAUGCAAAAUACUUCAGGAUACCGAGACCUCUUCUAAAGUCUCUGCCUUCAUUGUAUUACCCCGGUGUUGUUGAAAAUGCAGUAGCUCGCUUGAAGAUUCGUUUUUUUCUUGCCUACUUUCCAGUUUCGGUAUUUUUGACACCUUGUGGCUAAUUUCACACUACUUUGGGGUUUUGUGAGUUCCAGCAGGACUUGUAGAGUGAGGUGGCAGGAUCAGGAGCACAGCUGGCUCAGUUACCUUGUGCACUGGCAGAACACCAGGCUGGGGAGCGCAUCCAGGAUCUGUUAUGCUGUAUAUUAACAGGAAUGGAAGACAGCUCCUCUUUCUCUAUUUGCCAGUCAAAUCAGGAUUUCUUUGAGCAUGCUGUUUUUCUGAGCAUGUCUUCAGCUUCAUCCCUGGACAUCUUCAAAAGCCAUCUAGGCACGGUUCUGGGCAGCCUGCUCUAGGUGGCCAUGCUUGAGCAGGGGGGAUAGACCAGAUGGCCACCAGAGGUCCCUGCCAACAUUAGUCAUUUUGUGAUUUAUCUUUCCUCUCGAAAUGCCCCCCAAGUUGCUUUUGAAACGACUGCACAAAUCCAGUCUGACUGGCAGAAGGGUGGAAAUUUCAAGAAGACCAAGUUCUCCCAUGCUUUGUGAAAACUGGUUGCUUGUUGAAGAAACCAAAAUUAAUGAUCUCUCACCCAAGGAUGCACAGGGGGAGGUCAGGACUUCUUCACUCAGUUUAAUCAGUUAGGACACACUGCUGGAUUGGCUGUGGAGUAUGCAAUGAAGUCCAGGGUCGCUACCAGCAUCAUUUCUGGUCCAGCUAGCAUGACCAAAACUGCCAACAUGAAGUUGAAGAUAGGGCGUAACUGGCCUAGAGGCCCUGAGGAUGAGCUGGGGGCCCCUUGGGGGCACUUUGGAAAUAGAAGAGAAUAGAAGAGAAAACUGAGAGGAUUUUGGAGCUGUUUGUAGGUAUGGGGGAAAUCUGGGAGCCUUGCAGUGAAGAGCUGUUUUGUACGCAGAGCAGGUCUGGAGUCACUGCAGUGGGGAACACAAGGGCCACAUGAUGUGGCUCUAGAGGAAACCAGGUUUCACUCUUGGUUCUCGGAACAACUUAUUUAAAGUGAAGAUUACUGCUGUUUUGGAAAUUGUAAUGUGGGACUCCUGCUACCCUAAGCAGAUGGCUAGAGCAACACCAUAUAGGCAGAUCCAAUUUAUCAGCAAUACUUAAUCACCAUCUCCAAAUAACACUUCAAUAAUCAGAUAACAGUGAGUUUGUCUGGGCAAUGUAGGGAUAUUUUUUUCCGUUUCUUUGUCCCAUUUCAUAGCAAAAUGGAUUUAUUUUAACAAGUAGUGGGAACCACAGCUUCUGCUGAUCCUAAGAGCUUUCACUGUUGCAUCUACUAGCAUUAUUUUCAUUUUAGCAAUGCAUUUCUAAUGGCUUGUCUGCUUUGCUGGCUGUUUUCAAAAUCAAAGGUAAUGAACAUAAAGUGAGAGAAUGACUUUUUUCCUUUUGUUUUGGCUUUCCCCCCUUCUUUUGAUCAGCUCCCUCCAUCUGGUCCUUGCCUGUCAGUGUCAGGGUGGCACUGACUGUCCUCUGUAGAUGCAGUUUAUUGUGUACCCUCAAUUUUACUGCUCUAUGUUUAUUGUUGCUAAUUCACCAAGGACCUUGAAAUCCAAUAAAAUUUGCCCCUUGGCAAUGUGAAAAUCUCCC
ensembl:lncRNA